CGGACGGGUGAGUAACGCGUGGAAAACCUGCCGUAUACUGGGGGAGUAACACUUAGAAAUAGGUGCUAAUACCGCAUAAGCGCACAGCUUCGCAUGAAGCGGUGUGAAAAACUCUGGUGGUAUACGAUGGUUCCGCGUCUGAUUAGCUAGUUGGUGGGGUAAUGGCCUACCAAGGCAACGAUCAGUAGCCGGCCUGAGAGGGUGAACGGCAACAUUGGGACUGAGACACGGCCCAAACUCCUACGGGAGGCAGCAG
rnacentral:rRNA from 1 species